GGUGGCUCAGUGGUAGAGUGCUUGUCUUGCAUGCAUGAGGCCUGGGUUCGAUUCCUCAGCACCA
rfam:Dipodomys ordii contig_14939, whole genome shotgun sequence.